rnacentral:misc_RNA from 1 species
UCAAAAGUCAGUCGGGAGCCCUAGUGGCUGCCGUCUACACCCAAGUCUUUUGUGUACUCAUUGUUUCCUCGGCGGCGUAAGUCGCCGAGUGGACAAACUAAAACCUUUUUGUAAUUGCAAUCAGCGUCAUUAAAUAUAAUAAUAUUUA